rnacentral:rRNA from 1 species
UACGGGGGGGGCAAGCGUUGUUCGGAAUUACUGGGCGUAAAGGGCUCGUAGGUGGCCGACUAAGUCGGACGUGAAAUCCCUCAGCUUAACUGGGGAACUGCGUCCGAUACUGGAUGGCUUGAGUUUGGGAGAGGGAUGCGGAAUUCCAGGUGUAGCGGUGAAAUGCGUAGAUAUCGGGAGGAACACCAGUGGCGAAGGCGACUUCCUGGCCUGUUCUUGACGCUGAGGCGCGAAAGCUAGGGGAGCAAACGGG